GCGAUCGUAGUUCAACGGUUAGAAUGGGGGACUGUGGAUCCCCAGAUCGGGGUUCGAUUCCCCGCGAUUGCC
rnacentral:tRNA from 1 species